rnacentral:rRNA from 1 species
CACGUAGUUAGCCGGGGCUUCUUGGUCGGGUACCGUCCGCGGCUCUCGCGAACCGUGUUUCUUCCCCGCUGACAGAGCCUUACGCGCCGAAACGCUUCUUCACUCACGCGGCGUCGCUGCAUCAGGGUUUCCCCCAUUGUGCAAUAUUCCCCACUGCUGCCUCCCGUAGGAGUUUGGGCCGUGUCUCAGUCCCAAUGUGGCCGUCCGCCCUCUCAGGCCGGCUACUGAUCGUCGCCUUGGUGGGCCGUUACCCCGCCAACCAGCUAAUCAGACGCGGGUCCAUCCCGUACCACCGGAGUUUUCAAGAAAGGAACAUGCGUCCCCUUCUGUUAUGCGGUAUUAGCACCUGUUUCCAGGUGUUAUCCCCCGGUACGGGGCAGGUUCCCCACGCGUUACUCACCCGUCCGCCACUAAGGCCCGCGCCUUCCGGGUCUGGUAAACCAUCCCCUUCCGCCGCUGGCCCCCGUUCGACUUGCAUGUGUUAGGCACGCCGCCAGCGUUCAUCCUGAGCCAGGAUCAAACUCU